AUGUUGGGUGGCGUUGACGGGUCAUUGUCAGGGCAGGAGCCGUUUAAGGGGGUACUGAUGCCGAAGAAGCUGUUGGUGCGAGGAAGCCACAUAGUCCUUGGCUGCUCUCGUGAAGUAAUCUUGGUCUUGGCGUUGUCAAUGGUGUGCGAGUAUUUUCCUAGGGUGAUGUUCUUGUUAGUGAUUGUCUUCACAAAGAUCUGUAUCUUGAGGGCACGUCUUGACAAAGAUCUGCAUUUCUCCACGUUGUUGAGAGGCAAUGUGAAUGAUAGACUCCUUGUGGAUGUUGUUGUCAGCAAGGGUGCGUCCCUCCUUAAGCUACUUGCCUGCAGAGAGGAGACGCUUGUUGCAAGGAGGAAAUCCCCUCAGUUUUGGAUCUUGAUGAAGAUCUGCAUGCCACCUCAAAGGCGGUUUAGCCUUGUGUUACCGGGAGACUGCAUAAAUAUGUGGAAUACAUAA
rnacentral:rRNA from 1 species